rnacentral:rRNA from 1 species
UGGCUCAGAAUGAAGGCUGGCGGCGUGCUUAACACAUGCAAGUCGAACGAGAAAUCUUUAGCUUGCUAGAGAAAGUAAAGUGGCGCACGGGUGAGUAACGCGUGGGUAAUCUGCCUCCGAAUCGGGGAUAACAUUGCGAAAGCGAUGCUAAUACCGGAUAAAAUCUGGUUGGCUUCGGUGAACCGGAUCAAAGGUGGUCUCUUUUAAAAAGCUACCGUUUGGAGAUGAGCUCGCGUACCAUUAGCUUGUUGGUGGGGUAAAGGCUCACCAAGGCGACGAUGGUUAGCUGGUCUGAGAGGAUGAUCAGCCACACCGGAACUGGAACACGGUCCGGACUCCUACGGGAGGCAGCAGUGAGGAAUUUUGCGCAAUGGGGGAAACCCUGACGCAGCAACGCCGCGUGAGUGAUGAAGGCUUUCGGGUCGUAAAGCUCUGUCAGGUGGGAAGAACCCACCAGGUGUAAACAUCACCUGGUGCUGACGGUACCACCGAAGGAAGCACCGGCUAACUCCGUGCCAGCAGCCGCGGUAAUACGGGGGGUGCGAGCGUUAUUCGGAAUCAUUGGGCGUAAAGGGCGCGCAGGCGGUUUUGUAAGUCAGAUGUGAAAUCCCGGGGCUUAACCCCGGAAGUGCAUAUGAAACUAUGAGACUUGAGUAUGGGAGAGGGAAGCGGAAUUCCUGGUGUAGCGGUGAAAUGCGUAGAUAUCAGGAGGAACACCGGUGGCGAAGGCGGCUUCCUGGACCAAUACUGACGCUGAGGCGCGAAGGCGUGGGGAGCGAACAGGAUUAGAUACCCUGGUAGUCCACGCAGUAAACGUUGAUCACUAGGUGUAGCGGGUAUUGACCCCUGCUGUGCCGGAGUUAACGCAUUAAGUGAUCCGCCUGGGGAGUACGAUCGCAAGAUUAAACUCCAAGGAAUUGACGGGGGCCCGCACAAGCGGUGGAGCAUGUGGUUUAAUUCGACGC